rnacentral:rRNA from 1 species
AUGCUCUUGUCGUAUCGUAUCGUAUACACAGACAUUGCGCGUACGCAUGAUGAUCACAGAAUAUCCUGGCCCGCACAAGUUGAUCCGAGUCCCCCACGAGAACAACAGUUCGUCCGGCGUCUCUUCCCUUCCCUGUUUCGGCAGUCCCAGCCUUGCCGUCAAAUCUGGUAUCAUCGGGCAAGAGGCCAACCACACCCCAUCCACUGGCCAGUACAUGGAAGCCGUGUGGCACAAAUUUCAGGCAGCUCUGCAACUCAAAUCAAGAGAUUUUUAACAGAAGGAAAAGCUAAAUACUCCUACACGGAUCUGAGCGGCUUAAGAGUUGGUCAGUAG